rnacentral:tRNA from 1 species
GGAGGCGUGCCCGAAGUAUUAGGGACCACUUUGAUAGAGUGGACAAUGGGGGUUAAAGUCCCCCCGCCUCUU